GGACGGUUGGCUCAGGGGUAGAGCGCUGCGUUCACAUCGCAGAGGUCAUAGGUUCAAAUCCUAUACCGUCCA
rnacentral:tRNA from 1 species